AUUGAACGCUGGCGGCAGGCUUAACACAUGCAAGUCGAGCGGAGAUGAGGUGCUUGCACCUUAUCUUAGCGGCGGACGGGUGAGUAAUGCUUAGGAAUCUGCCUAUUAGUGGGGGACAACAUUCCGAAAGGAAUGCUAAUACCGCAUACGUCCUACGGGAGAAAGCAGGGGAUCUUCGGACCUCGCGCUAAUAGAUGAGCCUAAGUCGGAUUGGCUAGUUGGUGGGGUAAAGGCCUACCAAGGCGACGAUCUGUAGCGGGUCUGAGAGGAUGAUCCGCUACACUGGGACUGAGACACGGCCCAGACUCCUACGGGAGGCAGCAGUGGGGAAUAUUGGACAAUGGGGGGAACCCUGAUCCAGCCAUGCCGCGAGUGUGAAGAAGGCCUUAUGGUUGUAAAGCACUUUAAGCGAGGAGGAGGCUACUGAGACUAAUACUCUUGGAUAGUGGACGUUACUCGCAGAAUAAGCACCGGCUAACUCUGUGCCAGCCGCCGCGGUAACAC
rnacentral:rRNA from 1 species